GAAAAUUUAGUUAAAAAAUAACCUUAGUAUGUCAAACUAAAAUUAAUAUAAUAUAUUAAUUUUCA
rnacentral:tRNA from 1 species